rnacentral:rRNA from 1 species
UACAGAGACUGCAAGCGUUGUUCGGAUUUACUGGGCGUAAAGGGCGCGUAGGCGGCCAGCACAAGUCAGUUGUGAAAUCUCCGAGCUUAACUCGGAAAGGUCAACUGAUACUGUGCGGCUAGAGUGCGGAAGGGGCAACUGGAAUUCUUGGUGUAGCGGUGAAAUGCGUAGAUAUCAAGAGGAACACCUGCGGCGAAGGCGGGUUGCUGGGCCGACACUGACGCUGAGGCGCGAAAGCCAGGGGAGCGAACGGG